rnacentral:tRNA from 1 species
GCCUCUAUAGCUUAAUGGAUAGAGUCCUGGUCUUCGGAACCAGUUGUGGGGGUUCGAGUCCCUCUGGAGGCA